rnacentral:rRNA from 1 species
UACGGGGGGGGCAAGCGUUGUUCGGAAUUACUGGGCGUAAAGGGCUCGUAGGCGGCCAACUAAGUCGGACGUGAAAUCCCUCGGCUUAACCGGGGAACUGCGUCCGAUACUGGAUGGCUUGAGUUUGGGAGAGGGAUGCGGAAUUCCAGGUGUAGCGGUGAAAUGCGUAGAUAUCUGGAGGAACACCGGUGGCGAAGGCGGCAUCCUGGACCAACACUGACGCUGAGGAGCGAAAGCCAGGGGAGCAAACGGG